AAUUCAAACUUCGAGACAUGUUUGAAACAUUUUAUUUCAGUAAAUAUAGCUGUCACUAUGGAAGUAAUUACUCUAAAGGAAAUCUGUUUUAAAAAGCCAGUAUAAACUGAAAAGUAAGCAACAAAACAUCUUCAGGAAAAGAAAAAGAAAGGCAAAUAAAAUGUUUAUAUGAAAUUACGAACAUUCUGGGCCGGGUGUGGUGGCUCAUGCCUGUAAUCCCAGCACUUUUGGAGGCUGAGGUGGGUGAAUUAUUUAUUUGAGGUCAGGAGUUUGAGACUAGCUUGGCCAACAUGGUGAAAGCCCGCCUUUACUAAAAAUACAAAAAUUAGCAGGGUAUGGUGGCAGGCGCCUGUUAUCCCAGCUACUUGGGAGGCUGAGGCAGCAGAAUUGCUUGAACCUGGGAGGCGGAGGUUGCAGUGAGCUGAGAUAGUGCCACUGCAUUCUAGCCUGGGUGACAGAGCGAUACUUCGUCUCCAAAAAAAAAAAAAAAAAAAAAAAAAGAGAGAGACUAACAUUCUAACAGACAAAACAAAAACAAAAAACAAAAAAACACAUUUUACAAAACAAUAAUCUAAGUGGGCAAGUAAAUACUGGUGUGACAUACAUUUUUAGGGAAAAACUAGCAACAUGUUUUGUGGAGAUAAAUGUAAACACAUUUUACACAUACAAAUCUUUUCUGGCAUGGGUAC
rnacentral:lncRNA from 1 species